CUCCGAGAAAUGAUGGGGGUGUAGAUUUUGUUUACGUAUAUUCGGAUAUCGUUGCCCCUUGCCGGUUUGCUGGUCAACAGGUUAAUAUCUUAGAUGCAUUUGCUUUGCAAGGUUCGAGUACUAAGGGAUACACGCCCACACUCUAUAAACAACUCUUAAGCAAGACUUUAAAUUCGGUGGGUGUGCACAUUACAGAUCAGAAUGGGUAUCCCAUAGUUUUCGAGGAGGGUCAUUCUGUUACACUUAUACUUCACAUAAGACCUAGGUAAAUUUUGUAUAUAUAAAGACGGUGCAUGUAUAUCUGUACUUAUUUUACAUCGGUACGUCGUCCCGGUGUGUUUGUUUGUUUAUGCAGAGCAAAGACUGACACCGCUUCGAUUUCCAUCAUGUAUGUGAGAGCACCUUUUGUUCCGCCGACGGUUGAGGAAUUUAUGGUCAUCUUUGAACAGCCAGAAUCGCAGAUUAAACCCUUUCGAGGAGGGUCAUUGGGGGAUAUUAGUGUGUAUAGACCCUAUGAUAAUUACAGAAGAGGUGCCGGGUUACUCUCUUUUCUCGGUAAUAUUGGCAAGAGAUUAAUUCCGUUUGUUUCUAAGCUCGUUAAGCCUGCCCUGCUUGAUUUUGGGUCUGGUGUUAUUGAUGAUAUGAGACAGGGGAAUGGCAGUUUAAGGUCUUCUCUGAAAAAAAGAGGGGUGGAGGCAGUUAAACAUAUCGGUGCGAGGGCAAUGAGAGGAGGAGGAGGAGGAGGAGGAGGAAGAGGAGUGCGUAGAAAACGGAAAAGAGUGAAACGAUUGACAAUUCGUCCCAGUUGUUCGAGCUAUAAAAAAGAUGUCUUUUCCUUGGCUUAGUCAGUUAUAGACUCGUCUUGACGAGGUGCGCAAUAGUAAUAUAGAGUUAAGAGUGUAAUAUCAUUAUUAACAAUCAUGAAUCAGUACAAGACACCGCUGUCAUCUUAUGUUGCCGGGGUAAGCGAUAUGUUUCCCCGGUCAAAUAGAUUGCACAUGAUUGAAUCAGGGAUAGAAGAACGGUCUGAGGUGGAUGUGCUGCCUUUUAACGCGGGGAUUAAUGGUUCUGUUACAGAUAAUUAUGCAGAAUUUAGGUGGCCUGCCGGGCAAAAUUGUUAUGUUGACUUAUCAAGAUUGGUUUUAGAGAUUAAGGGCAGUUUGAGAAAAGAGGAUGGUACUUUAUUAAGCGAAGGUGAUCAUGCUGUAUUGUGCAACUCUGCCAUGCACUCGCUAAUUAAAUCUGUGACGGUUUAUUUUAAUGGGCAGCAAGUAGAACAAAAUCCUCUGUAUAAUUUUUCGUCAUAUGUUCGCCUAGAAACGGGUAUGUCUCCUUCGCUGAAGAAAACAUUAGGAAGAAAUAUGCAUUAUUAUGAUCAUUCUAGCAUACCGAGGAGCUAUGCGGAAGAUUAUUUUACAGGCGCUAGUGAACAAGAGAAAUCUGAUAUGAAUGAGGUUAAGACUAGUGGAUUUCAUUUUAUGGCUCCGCUAAUGUUAGAUAUAGCAACAAUGGAUAUGUAUCUCUUAGACAAUGUCUCUAUGAGAAUACGACUUGAGUUUGCCUCGGACCGGUUUGUUAUUAACACCAGCCCGCAGGCGGUUGGAUCAAAGCCUGUGGUGAAGAUAGAGACUUGUAAAAUGCAUUUAACAACACUUAAACCGAGAGAUUCAGCACGAGAGGCUCUUAAUAAAUCUUUAAUUCGCAGUCCUCUUAGCUACAUAUUUAAUAAAACGCUAUACAAAACUUAUGUUAUGGCAAGCCAACAAACCCAACUUGCUAUUGACAUGCCGUGGGGGUCAACGAUUCCUGAAAAGUUAUCUCUUUUUAUGGUUGACAUGAAGGCUUAUGCGGGAGACUAUAACAUGAAUCCUCUACAUUUCGGUCAUAAUCAUUUGAGCAAACUUUUUGUUACCGUUAAUAACAACUCUGUGUACAAUAUAAGCACGAGUUUCCCGAGUCGUUGCUCAGAUUUAUAUUAUCACUCGCUUAAUGCACUGGGGUUGGAAAAGGAGCAUUCGCUUGAUAGACAUGGGUUUGUGAACGGUAAAAUGAUUGCUGUUAUGGAUUUGCAACCUGAAAAGCUGCAGGAUGCGAUAGCUAUUGAAAAUUCGGGAAGUCUUAGGAUUGCCGUUGAAUUGUCGCAGCCUUACGACUCGAAUAUUGUUUUAUUUUUGGUGGGUGAUACGCAAGGUGUAAUUUACGUUGAUAACGAUCGUAGGGUGGUUGCAGAUGUCAGAGCAUAAUGAACUGCAACGAGGUGUCGAGUAUUUGUUCGCAGUUUCUGAGGAGAGGAUAUGUGUUGCGGGGGUGUUUCUUGGCUGAUCAACUGCCUAUUAGAAUAGGUCGCACAAACCAUAAUGAAUUCUUUGUGGUUAACAUACUUACAUCUCGCCAUAGACCGUCAAUUAUGGGGCAUUAUGUAUUAGUAGUUAUUGGGAAAUCUUAUAUUGCUUACUUUGAUUCUUAUGGGAUCAAACCACGUGUUUAUUCUUCUUGGUUGCAAGGAUUUAUCAGCCAGUAUUAUGAUAAGAGGUUUCUUGAUAUUAGUAGACGUUUACAGAGUCUUGAUAGUUUAACAUGCGGGGCAUAUGUAAUCUUUAUCAUGUAUCAUAUUAAUUUGUAUGGGGUGGAUCGUAUUAAUAAUUUUCUACGUUGUUAUUUUUCGCACGAUGAUUUCAAAUAUAAUGAUAGGAAGGUUAUAAGAUUUUUGUAUAGACAUUUUAACAUGCCUCGAUGUGAGAGAUUAUUUUGUGAUAGAUCUCUAAGCAAAAGGAAAUGUAAGCAGCUGUACUGCAGUUAGUUCCUCGCCCUUCCGCCCCUCGUCCCUACCUCCUCCUCCCCUUCUUCCGCUGACCCUUUUUUUUUCGUGAUUGUGAUUGGUUGGAGAGUUUGCUGAGUACUUGGGUCAUGGCUUUAUAAGAACCGAUUCGUGUAUAAGCUGUGUCACACCCGUCUAACCGAACCAUAUCAAGAUGAGCUCGAUAUUUGCUGAGACUACCGAGGUAGAAGGUAUGUAAUUUUUACGAGUUUUUUUUAGGUGAUAUGUUAUCUUCUUGGAAACAUUGUGCUACGGUCUUUUUAUUGGGUACAUAUAGAGAAGUAACCCGUGUAAAUCUUAUUUACAGGUGUUUAUGUUGGUAUAAACGACAACGUUGCUGUCGUCUUUAUCACCGGUACUGCAACUGUGGAUGAUGGGAAAAUACGGGAUAUUUUUGAGAAGGGGGUUACCGAAUGCCGUAUAUAUAAAUGUGUGAGCGAGCCGCAAAAAUUGACGCUGUCGACAGCGAAGAGAAGGAUGGAAGAACCUGCCUCCUCUGCGGAAAAAAGAAGACGGGUGUCAGAACCCGUUGCCGUUGCCUCAGAUUCGGCGUGGGGGGAAGAACCGACAUCGUUGCAACCACAGGCUUUCCAGCCUGAUUUAAGUCCCACAUCUCCUGUGUACUACCCUGGAGGGAUGCAGAGGUCGCUGAUUCCAGCGUUGUAUGGCAAUAUAUAUACACAACCGUCGCACUUGCACGGUUUCGAUCUUGGCAGUGGGCCAUCCCACGGUGAGAGGAGUUUGUUGGCAUGCGGUAGUAAUCAGACAAUAGAGAGUUUUCCCUCGCAUGAACCGCCUCCGUUAUAUGAUGGCUUGAUUCCUCUCAUUGACUUAACAGAAGACGAUGAGGAUUCGACAGCAUGCAGUGAUAGUAAUGCAGGAACGGUUAGAAUUUGUUCUUGUCAUCUGCAUCAUAUGUAGGGCGGGAAAAAAUGUGUGUGUGUGUGUGUGUGU